rnacentral:rRNA from 1 species
CACUUCGCAACGUGGGAAACCACGACGAGGGAAUCCCUAGUGUACGCACUAAGUGCGUACUGUUUCUCUGUCUAAAAAGCAGGGAGAGUAAGGGCUGGGUAAGACGGGUGCCAGCCGCCGCGGUAAUACCCGCAGCCCAAGUGGUGCUCGUUAUUAUUGGGCCUAAAACGUCCGUAGCCGGCCUUGUAAAUCCAUGUGGAAAUCGGAGGGCCUAACCCUCCGAAGGGCGUGGACACUGCAAGGCUUGGGACUGGGUGAGUUCGGAGGUACUUCCGGGGUAGGGGUGAAAUCCUGUAAUCCUGGGAGGACCACCAGUGGCGAAGGCGUCCGAAUAGAACGGAUCCGACGGUCAGGGACGAAGCCCUGGGGCGCAAACGGGAUUAGAUACCCCGGUAGUCCAGGGUGUAAACGCUGUGGUCUUGGUGUUGGGGGUCCUACGAGGGCACCCAGUGCCGGAGAGAAGUUGUUAAGACUACUGCCUGGGGAGUACGGUCGCAAGACUGAAACUUAA